CCGUAGCAAUACGGUCGUACAGUGGCGAACGGGUGAGGAAGACGUGGGUAACCUACCCUCGAGUGGGGAAUAACCCGCCGAAAGGCGGGCUAAUACCGCGUACGCUUCUGUUCCUUCGGGGACGGAAGGAAAGCUGUGCCGUGGGCAUGGCGCUCAAGGAUGGGCUCACGCCCUAUCAGCUUGUUGGUAGGGUAACGGCCUACCAAGGCAACGACGGGUAGCUGGUCUGAGAGGACGAUCAGCCACACUGGCACUGCGACACGGGCCAGACUCCUACGGGAGGCAGCAGUGAGGAAUAUUACGCAAUGGGCGAAAGCCUGACGCAGCGACGCCGCGUGGGGGAUGAAGGUCUUCGGAUUGUAAACCCCUUUCAGGAGGGAAGAUGGAACGGGCAACCGUUCGGACGGUACCUCCAGAAGCAGCCACGGCUAACUUCGUGCCAGCAGCCGCGGUAAUACGAAGGUGGCAAGCGUUGUUCGGAUUUACUGGGCGUAAAGGGAGCGUAGGCGGUUGGGUAAGCCCUUUGGGAAAGCUCCCGGCUUAACCGGGAAAGGUCGAAGGGGACUGCCUGGCUAGAGGGUGGGAGAGGAGCGCGGAAUUCCCGGUGUAGCGGUGAAAUGCGUAGAGAUCGGGAGGAAGGCCGGUGGCGAAGGCGGCGCUCUGGAACAUUUCUGACGCUGAG
rnacentral:rRNA from 1 species